GAUGAACGCUGGCGGCGUGCCUAAUACAUGCAAGUCGAGCGAACGGACGAGAAGCUUGCUUCUCUGAUGUUAGCGGCGGACGGGUGAGUAACACGUGGAUAACCUACCUAUAAGACUGGGAUAACUUCGGGAAACCGGAGCUAAUACCGGAUAAUAUUUUGAACCGCAUGGUUCAAAAGUGAAAGACGGUCUUGCUGUCACUUAUAGAUGGAUCCGCGCUGCAUUAGCUAGUUGGUAAGGUAACGGCUUACCAAGGCAACGAUGCAUAGCCUACCUGAGAGGUUGAUCGGCCACACUGGAACUGAGACACGGUCCAGACUCCUACGGGAGGCAGCAGUAGGGAAUCUUCCGCAAUGGGCGAAAGCCUGACGGAGCAACGCCGCGUGAGUGAUGAAGGUCUUCGGAUCGUAAAACUCUGUUAUUAGGGAAGAACAUAUGUGUAAGUAACUGUGCACAUCUUGACGGUACCUAAUCAGAAAGCCACGGCUAACUACGUG
rnacentral:rRNA from 1 species